GAUGAACGCUGGCGGCGUGCCUAAUACAUGCAAGUCGAGCGAACAGACGAGGAGCUUGCUCCUCUGACGUUAGCGGCGGACGGGUGAGUAACACGUGGAUAACCUACCUAUAAGACUGGGAUAACUUCGGGAAACCGGAGCUAAUACCGGAUAAUAUAUUGAACCGCAUGGUUCAAUAGUUAAAGACGUUUUUUCUGUCACUUAUAGAUGGUUCCGCGCCGCAUUAGCUAGUUGGUAAGGUAACGGCUUACCAAGGCAACGAUUCGUAGCCGAACUGAGAGGGUGAUCGGCCACACUGGAACUGAGACACGGUCCAGACGCCUACGGGAGGCAGCAGUAGGGAAUCUUCCGCAAUGGGCGAAAGCCUGACGGAGCAACGCCGCGUGAGUGAUGAAGGUCUUCGGAUCGUAAAACUCUGUUAUUAGGGAAGAACAAAUGUGUAAGUAACUAUGCACGUCUUGACGGUACCUAAUCAGAAAGCCACGGCUAACUACGUG
rnacentral:rRNA from 1 species